UACGGGGGGGGCAAGCGUUAAUCGGAAUUACUGGGCGUAAAGCGUGCGCAGGCGGCUUUGCAAGACAGAUGUGAAAUCCCCGGGCUCAACCUGGGAACUGCAUUUGUGACUGCAUCGCUAGAGUACGGCAGAGGGGGAUGGAAUUCCGCGUGUAGCAGUGAAAUGCGUAGAUAUGCGGAGGAACACCGAUGGCGAAGGCAAUCCCCUGGGCCUGUACUGACGCUCAUGCACGAAAGCGUGGGGAGCAAACAGG
rnacentral:rRNA from 1 species